UGAACUCUGGCGGCGUGCCUAAUACAUGCAAGUCGAGCGAACGGACGAGAAGCUUGCUUCUCUGAUGUUAGCGGCGGACGGGUGAGUAACACGUGGAUAACCUACCUAUAAGACUGGGAUAACUUCGGGAAACCGGAGCUAAUACCGGAUAAUAUUUUGAACCGCAUGGUUCAAAAGUGAAAGACGGUCUUGCUGUCACUUAUAGAUGGAUCCGCGCUGCAUUAGCUAGUUGGUAAGGUAACGGCUUACCAAGGCAACGAUGCAUAGCCGACCUGAGAGGGUGAUCGGCCAAACUGGAACUGAGACACGGUCCAGACUCCUACGGGAGGCAGCAGUAGGGAAUCUUCCGCAAUGGGCGAAAGCCUGACGGAGCAACGCCGCGUGAGUGAUGAAGGUCUUCGGAUCGUAAAACUCUGUUAUUAGGGAAGAACAUAUGUGUAAGUAACUGUGCACAUCUUGACGGUACCUAAUCAGAAAGCCACGGCUAACUACGUG
rnacentral:rRNA from 1 species